rnacentral:sRNA from 1 species
GCCGGGCAUGGUGGUGCAUGCCUGUAAUCCCAGCAACUCAGAAGGCUGAGGCAGGAGGAUCACGAGUUCAAAGCCAGCCUCAGCAAUGUCAAGACACUAAGCAACUCAGUGAGACUCUAUCUCUA